ACUAGCAGGCAAGAAUAGGAAUCACCAUCUUGUUAGGGGUAAUUAACACAGCAGAAGGAGGCAGGGCUUGUGUUACUUGAUGGGAGAGGGGAGGAACAUGCAUGGAACUCAGGUGGCGACUGGGUGCCUCUUGGUACGUACUUGCCUAAUUGUGACAAAUGUAAUGAUGUGGUAAUGGAGGUAAGGUCAGGUAAACGCAGGUAAGGUCACCAGGAGCUCAGACCCCUCAAGAAUGAGCGUUUGGGAAACACCACCACGUAAACCACUGAAACCAACAGAGUGAGGGAUUUUAGAGCAGGCAGUGGAGAAGGGACUUAAUGAGUACCAGUUUUGGCUGUGAGACCAACCACAGCUGUGGAGGCUAUAGUCUCUUUACUUCCUUCUUCUAACUUUCCCCUCAGGAAGAGGAGCCAACCAGAGCCCUGACGGGGCCGCUCCCCACAUAUGUUAUGAAGUAGAUCCACGGACACACAAGGAUAACAAUUACUUAGAGGAAAUGAGAAACAUCGAAACAACCCUUUUGAUCAAACACAGUGACCAGAGUAUUUGGGGAAAAUGCUUAAUACCUGUGUGACCACCAAACAAUGUUCUCCUGCACUAUUGUGAUCAGACACAAUUUAAUAUCUGUGGAUAAAUAUUGCAAUUUUAAUAAACAUAAUAAAAAUAUUUCCUAUGAACAUA